AGGACUCUAAAAUCAAAAUUCAUUAAGUCAACAAUAUUGACGACUUAGUCAUACUGAUCUUACAGCUCGUAACGUUGACUCAUAAAUUCGUAUAAAAACAAAUUACAAGGUAUCGACGAUCUUAUAUUAGUUAAUAAGUGUAGCGCGAGGCCGACUUCAUGAGGCCGCCACCGAGCGCGACCUCACAAACAGAAAGUGCCUUCCUAAGUCCUAGAAAGGUCAUCUUCUGACCAAGUUUCAUGAAGAUAGGACAGUAAAUGUGGCCUCUAGAGUGUUAACACGAUUUUACUAAAGCUAUUUAAGGAAAAAUGCCCCGCCCCUUGGAAGCCAUGUUUUUCAAGCAAACAUAUUUAUUUUCGAAUUCAUCCAAGAUAUCAUUAAGACCAAUCUUCUGAGCGAAUUUCAUGAAGAUUGGACAAUAAAUGUGGCCUCUAGAGUGUUAACAAGGUUUUACUAUAGCCAUUUAUAGCCAUAUAAGGAAAAAUGCCCCGCCCCUGGUGGCCAUGUUUUUUAAGCAACCAAAACCAUUUUCGAACUCAUCCAAGAUAUCAUUGGGACAAAUCUUCUGACCAAGUUUCGUGAUGAUCGGAAAAUAAAUGUGACCUCUAGAGAGUUAACAAGGCAAAUGUUGACGCCUCAAAACGGACGACGGACAAAAGGCGAUCACAAAAGCUCACCAUGAACACUUGAGCUAAUAAAAAAUAGAAUGGAAAAAUAAUAAUACUGAACAUUGAGGCCAUGCUUAAUAAUGCAACCAAAAGGCAAGGCAGUAGAUUCAAAACAGAAAAAGUUAACUUAUAGUACCUACAAUCAUAUAUUAAAAUAAUCAACACUGUAUACUUGUAAGUAUAUAUUUAAUACCAAAUACGAACACAUAAAAAACAGUUACAUUGUAUUUUAUUGCUGAAAUAAAUAAUUAUAUGAA